CCCUGUGCCCCUCCUUACAGCAUAGCCACUGUGACUUUGUGAGGGUGAGCCGUGGGGAGAAGACUCCUGAAAUGUUCAUUCUUGUUGCAGAGAUGGACAAAGGACAGAAAUUAGAGGCUACAUUCUGGUACACAUUCUGCCAUACUUCUCAGAAAAUCGGAUCCAUCUUUUCCGUAGUUACACUGAAGGUCACAACCACAUCUACAGUGAUCUGCACUGGCUGUUUUGACAGCUGUUUCUCAAACCAGCAUUUUGGCAGCAGAGGUCCAAAUGUCUAGGUCAAAAUUGCUCCCCAUUUGAAAAUUAGUUCAUACUGGAUCCAAUUGUGAGGUCCAGUCAGGCUCAGAAACAUGUUGCUGAUAUGCAUGGUAAUAAAUGCUUGGGCUGGAGUAUUACAGCUGGUAAGAGCAUGGACUUUGUGGUACGAUGGGCCUGGAUUCAAAUCUUUAGUUAUGCAACUUUGGCAAAUUAUUGAAUCUUUCAAAAACCUUGGCAAAUUAUCUAAUCUUUUAAAAACCCUGUUUUCUCAUUUGUGAAAUGCUAACCACAGCAGUGUGAAUCUCAUAGAGAAUCUCACAGGAUUGUUGUGAGGGUUAGAAGAGAUGACACAGCUCUGCACAUGGUGCCUGGUGCACCAUGAGUGCCAACAAAUGAGUGUUUGGUGGUAAUAGUUGAGCAGCCUUUUCAAUAAACUGACCAGACAUGUCCCUAAUGGUGCUAGCCCAUGCGAGCACCCAGCUCUGAGAGCUGAUGGCAACUCUUCACCUUUGUCUUGAAAUCACCUAGUUGAAAUCUAAUUGUGCGAGCUAGGGUUGUGGGCUGUAAAGGAACAGAGACCAACUUUACACAAUUUUAACAGAAAGCAUAGAGCUGGUCUGGUCAAGACAGUGCAGAUUGCCUUGUGGAUACCAUUGACACUGGACCCUGAAAACGGCCACUACAGCUGCUGCCCCUGUCCCCUGUGAAGUGCUGACUGGUCGCCCCGUCUACCCACUCAAACCAGAAUGGAUUCCUGUCACUGCAAGCUUCAGCUACAAAUCUAGGCGGGGAGUGGCUGCACCAAUCUGCGUUCCCACCAGCAGAUGAGUGGAUUAAAAAACUGUGGUACAUC